GAAUAUUGGACAAUGGACGCAAGUCUGAUCCAGCAACGCCGCGUGGGUGAAGAAGGCCUUCGGGUUGUAAAGCCCUUUCGACGGGGACGAUGAUGACGGUACCCGUAGAAGAAGCCCCGGCUAACUUCGUGCCAGCAGCCGCGGUAAUACGAAGGGGGCUAGCGGUGUUCGGAAUUACUGGGCGUAAAGGGCGCGUAGGCGGACUGUUAUAGUCAGGGGUGAAAUCCCGGGGCUCAACCUCGGAAUUGCCUUUGAUACUGGCGGUCUUGAGGACGGGAGAGGGUCGUGGAAUUCCCAGUGUAGAGGUGAAAUUCGUAGAUAUUGGGAAGAACACCGGUGGCGAAGGCGGCGACCUGGACCGGAUCUGACGCUGAGGCGCGAAAGCGUGGGGAGCAAACAGG
rnacentral:rRNA from 1 species